CAGAGAGCAAUAAAAAACGAAACCUAAAAUAGCUUAUGUAAAAAAAAAUUAUAGAAAUAACAUCAACAAUGGUCAUCUGAAAAGUGAAAAGAGAGCUAAUUUGAAAAAGCUGAAGGAAAAUCUUUUUGUACUAAUCUCUUUCUGCACAUGGGAUAUACCUUUCUUGGUGUCCCGUCAUAACCCAAAUACUGAAGAUAGAGAGGAGCCUUUAAGAUCAUUAAUAGCCAUCUUUCUAAAGAUGAAGAUGCAGAAGACCAUGGAGAUUAAGCAGCCUGAUCCAGAGAGAUGCCAGAAAUCAAUGUUUCAUCUUCAUCUCCUGAAUGAUAAAGAAAAAUAAGUUAAAGAGCAAAAUGGAUUGAAUACAGAGCCAUCUAUAAAGGAGGUACCCCUGCUCAAUGUGAAAUGGUGGAAAAGAACAAGCCUUUUGUAACAUAACAUAGAUGGAACCAGAAAUUGAAAGGUGCUAUUUGCAUAUGUUGGAAUAGACUGAUGGUGUUCAAAGAAAAAAAAAAAGAGCAUUAUUCAAAUUUUCUUCAUUUUUUCCUUAGAAAUUUCUGGUAAAACAGCGUUUAACUUCUAGUAAAGUAUUUUCAAAUAAUAUACUUAAAAAAAUAGCCUCUUGCUUUCUAGAAGAUACACAAUGAGAAAAGCAAAAACAGGCAUCAUAUUCUAUAUGAUGUUUUAGCAUAUAAGUGUCAUUCACUUAUUGUGGGAAAAAAUGUAUAAAAGAAUUAACAUUGCUUUAAAGACAAAGUGUUUUGGAAGAUGCACGGAUAUUUGUCACUAGUUUAAUUAAUGUUGAUUAAUUUGUAUUUACACUGAUUUUACUUAUUAUUUUUAAGAUACUGCUCUCUUAAAGACUUCAAAAUGUUUUGGCAAUUAAUACUUUAUGUGCUAAAUGCUAUACUAGUGGGUAAAAUAGUUGUAUUCUGUUGUAUUAGCAAGAUAAGAAGUAAUACAUAGAGGAAUACAUCUUUUUCAUCCAGAAAACUCAGGAUUCAGAAAUAUUUCUCUGCCUGCUUCUGCCUCAUUUCUUUCCAUCGGACAGGUGAUAAAUGACAUCCAAAUAGAUUCUGCAAUUUUCAAAACGCGAAUGAUUUGCUUCCUCAUUAAUGUUUGGAUGAGACACAUUUAUAACAGUGCUUCCCAUCCUUUGACAUAGACUAUAAGCCCAAAGAAAUGUUUGGAAGAAACAGAUCUCUCGUAUGCAAAUAUUUCCAAUUAUUAAAUUUAGUUCUUAUUCUUGAUCUUUAAGAAUGACUUUGAACAACCAACAUAAACUUGAUGUUCUGUCUCUGCAUAAUAGUACCUAAGUAAGAACCGUGAUGUUUUGUCAGAGAAAGCCAUACUUAUUUGCAAUAAGUAAAUGAAAAAAAACACUGAAUCAUCUUAAUCUUUCAGAGAGGACUGUGAGGAGAUUUUCUUAGAUUUGCAAAAUCUUUCUUUUCUUUCCAAAGGUCAUGCUCAGCUCACCACAGUUUCUGUUGCUAUUUUUCCUUUGUAUUAUUUUCCCUAGUAUUCCUUUUCAGUACUUUCUGAGUUGCUCAGUUUUAUGCUUCGGCUGCUAUGUCAGUUUUUUGUCCGACUCUUCGUGACCCGAUGGACUGCAGCCUGCCAGAUUCCUUUGUCCAUGGGAUUCUCCAGGCAAGGAUACCAGAGUACUUGUCAUGCCCUCCUCCAGGAGAUAUUCCUGACCCAGGGAUGGAAGCCCAUCUCUUUCCUCCCUCGUUGCAGGCAGAUUCUUUAGCGCUGAGCCACCAGGGAAGCCCAUUUGGUUUUAUAGGUCUUCUACAACUCAGGAAGAGGCAUUUUCUAAUCCUUAGUCCCUUCCAGAAAUGAGCUGGAGUAAUGAGCUGGCAUUGCAGAACCACUGAGCACAGUAUUUUUGUUUGUUGUACUUAUUUUCUUACGGCAACCUAGUCCUCUCGCAGACAGAGCCUAAUGUCUCCACUGAAACACUGGCAUCAAAAAUAAACUUUUCCCUCCUCCUUCUUUGUGAAAAAGACUUUCACUUGAUUUGGGGGAAAAUGUUAGAUACCAUGGUAACUGAAUUUUAUAUUGACAAUUGUGCCUAGGAGAAAUGGGAGCAUUUGAAUAGUGUCUAAAUUCAAAUGAGUGAGGUCCAUGGCCUAGAGGUGUUCAACCAAACAGACCCCUCAUUAUUUUGUUCAUACUCUAACAAAGCUUUUUAAAAGCCCAGUGUUGUUAACUUUUUUAUCUUUAUUCACUCACUCAUCUUUGAGUAAUUACAUUUCAUUCAUUUUUGUGCAUGGCAAUAAAUGUUUGUAAAUGUAAAUACAUUUUUUUUAUUUCAUAUAUGUGUUUUAUCUAUGAAAUGGAUUAUCCAUAAUAAAUUUAUUAUAUUAGUCUGGCUACUUUCUAAACGCAAAGUACUUCUGAAAAACCUUGUCUUGCUAUUAGAUAGCAUAUAUACCUGAUGGAUGAAAGUUAGA